rnacentral:misc_RNA from 1 species
CCGAGUUUACAACUCCCAAACCCACUGUGAACAUACCUAUGAUGUUGCCUCGGCGGAUCAGCCCGGCGCCCUCACCGGAAACGGAACAGGCGCCCGCCGCAGGAUCCACAAACCUCUGUCUUUAUAUGUAAUCUCUCUGAGUGACAAAACAAAUAAAUCA